rnacentral:rRNA from 1 species
UACAGAUGGGGCAAGCGUGAUUCGGAAUUAUUGGGCGUAAAGGGCGCGUAGGCGGCCUGGCAAGUGGAAGGUGAAAUCCCUCGGCUUAACCGAGGAACUGCCCUCCAAACUGCUUGGCUUGAGUCCGGGAGAGGUGAGUGGAAUUCCCAGUGUAGCGGUGAAAUGCGUAGAUAUUGGGAGGAACACCAGUGGCGAAGGCGGCUCACUGGACCGGAACUGACGCUGAGGCGCGAAAGCGUGGGGAGCAAACGGG